rnacentral:rRNA from 1 species
GUAGGGAAUAUUGGGCAAUGGAUGAAAGUCUGACCCAGCCAUGCCGCGUGCCGGAUGAAGGCGCUCAGCGUUGUAAACGGCUUUUAUUCGGGAAGAAGAGCAGGGAUGCGUCCCUGUGUGACGGUACCGAAUGAAUAAGCACCGGCUAACUCCGUGCCAGCAGCCGCGGUAAUACGGAGGGUGCGAGCGUUGUCCGGAUUUAUUGGGUUUAAAGGGUGCGUAGGUGGCCAAAUAAGUCAGUGGUGAAAUACGGUUGCUCAACAAUCGAGGUGCCAUUGAUACUGCUUGGCUUGAAAUAAUUGGAGGCUGCCGGAAUGGAUGGUGUAGCGGUGAAAUGCAUAGAUAUCAUCCAGAACACCGAUUGCGAAGGCAGGUGGCUACGAUUUAUUUGACACUGAGGCACGAAAGCAUGGGGAGCAAACAGGAUUAGAUACCCUUGUAGUCC